rnacentral:lncRNA from 1 species
UUACAGUGUUCUGUGAAUUUUCUAGUGUACAGCAAAGUGACCCAGUCACAUAUAUAUGUGUGUGUGUGUGUAUACACACACACAUUCCUUUUGUUAGGAAUUGUGAGGAAAGCUUGGGUUGACCCUGUCUUCUGUUUCUUUCUUGGAUUCCCUUGCUCUUAUUCUCUUUGGGAAGGAAUUUCUGAUAGGAGGAACUCCCUUGGGUGGGACCAGGAAGAUUUCCCAUGAGUCACCCAAUGAGACAGUGUUUUUUGAGUCUUUCACACUGAGGGUGGGGCUGUCUAGACUGGUCUAAGCCUAAGGCUACCUCCUGCAGUAAGUCAGGUAUUACAAAUGGGUCUUCUGGGAGCUGUGGCCUUACAGAAGCCAGACAGGGAGCUAAGGGUGCUAUCCUACUUGUCUGCCACCUCCCCUUUUUUCUUUUCUUUUUAGGGUGGCACCUGCAGCAUAUGGAAGUUCCCAGGCUAGGGGUCUAAUUAGAGCUGCAGCUGCUGGCCUACACCACAGCUUGCAGCCAAACUGGAUCCUCAGCCUACCCUGCAAGGCCAGGAUGAAACCUGCAGUGCAGCAUCAUGGAAAAUAUGCUGGGUUCUCAACCUGCUGAGCCACAACGGGAACUCCUAUCCGCUUCCUUUUUGAAAGAGGCCCCUGGAGUCAUGUCUGUGGCCCCCAAAUUCAAGGCAUUUAGUCCUCUUUUAUUCUAGGCUGUGUGUGUGCCAGGUCUUGUUCACUUGGUUGUUUGGUGUAUCUGGGGACUGGAGGAAGGACAGGAAUAAUGGUGGUGGGAUGAAGGGCUGGGCCGGAAGGAGUCACUGGCAGGAGUUACGGAAACAAUGAAGGAGUCCAGAAGAAUAACUGCUGAAAAUUCUCACAUAUUUUCCACUUGUGGAGCCUGUGAAUGAGAAAUGGUCCACUAGGCAACUUUGAGGUUGUUGACAUACUGGUUGCACACUGGUUUAGGGUACUUGAGGAAUAAAGUCUGGACAAGUGGAACAUGCAAGAGCAGAUCCUGGCUAAUUAGUUGCUUUUCCAGAAGCUCUAAUGAUGGAUGUCAUGCCAAAGAAAACAACCCUGGCCCUUGUAUAGGACUGAGCCUGGCUAGGAGUGCCAGGACUUGUUUUAAAAAACGCAAAUCUUGGCUUCCAAUUUAGACUAGGGUAGAAUCUGCCAGUCCAAUCCUUUGUGUUUUUCAUCUAUCUCAGGAAGCAAGAAAAGAAAAAGGAAUGGGAAGAUGAAGGAGGAAAAAGCAAAGUCUCACAUUUCCUCCUUAUUUGCGUGUCUAAAAAUCUGGACCUCUCUGGAAGCUAUCCUGAGCCCAUGCCAAGAACCUCCCACACCUAAAAAAUACUUUUCGUUAUUUAUAAAUCAUCUUAUUAUAUUUCUGAUGUCAUGUGUAUAAAAACAUACAUUUAAAUCACAUAAAUCCUUUGUAUCCUCUGUGAUCCUGGCCUGCUGGGAAUUUGGAAACAUAAAAGAUGACACAUACACCUAUUAGCAACCUGGGAAAGUGAGUGACUAAAUCCAACGUCAGGUUCAAUAAAAGAGAACACAUAGAAGUCUAGUUAGUUCCAAAGCAACUUUGCGGAAUUCAAUAAAAAGGCUGGAUGAGUCUUGGAAACGGGAGCAGAAGACAAGAGUGAAUGUCAGAAUGCCAGAGUAUGACUGGAGGAAGGCAAAGGAAGAAUCAAUUAAAAAUAUUCUCAUGAUUGAUAAGUUGAUACAUAUUGCAAUAAAAGCACACGGGAUCAACUUAAAAAGAAACACAGAUGGAGACGUCAAGUAGAUGAGAACUCCAAAGGUCCAGCAACAAAAAGAGCCAAUUUUCAUUUCAAUAUAAGGCCAUAGCUGAAGAAGUGCUCCACCGUUGGGGUGCUGUCCCCAGGAAAGGGAUGGAAGAUGCCUGAAGACUCCAUUGCCCUGCCUCUCUGCAGCCUAGGGUGGACAUGACUAUAAGAGCCUGGGCUUCUCCCUACUGAGCACAGAUUCGGACACAGAGCUCUCCACAGCCAGCAGUUAUUGCCAACUGCCUAGAGUUGCUCCUGUACAAUCCAUGCUGGUCUGUGAUGGGCCUGGGCAGGCAAGUUCCUUCUUUUCCCAGCUCUGCCUCUCAUUGCUUUGCCACUGGAAGCCUCUGCCAUACAGUAUCCCCAAACACAACUGCAUUAAUUAGUAUUUGCUAUUAUAACUCCAGAAUAGACCCAGAGGUAAUUACAUGAAAUGUGUGUUUUAUUUUCAUCUCCCUUUCACCAUUUUAUAUACACAAAUGCAUUUCCAAUUUCAACCAAGGGCAGGGGGAAUCAAUGAAUGUGAAACUAUUAAAAAAAAAAAAAAAAAAACUAUGCAGGAGUUCCUGUCGUGGAGCAGCAGAAACAAAUCUGACUAGGAACCAUGUGGUUGUAGGAUCGAUCCCUGGCCUUGCUCAGUGGGUUGAGGAUCCAGUGUUGCCGUGAGCUGUGGUGGAGGUCGCAGACUUGGCUCAGAUCCCGCAUUGCUGUGGCUGUGGUGUAGGCCGGCAGCCACAGCUCCAAUUAGACCCCUGGCCUGGGAACUUCCACAUGCCAUGGGUACAGACCUAAAAAGACAAAAAAAUAAAAAUAAUAAAUAAAAUAAAUGAAAAAAGAAAAAAAAACUAUACAGUUAUAAAAAUGAAUAGUACAUGUAUAAGAUUACAUAAAUGUAUCCCCAAACAUGGGGCAUUUUCAAAAGGUAUAUGUUAUUUCAUAAAUAUUUAAAAGUUAAUGAUUUUUUAAAUGAAACUAUUAUAUAUUUUUAAUAUAUAAAUAAAUAUAAUUUAACAUUGAACCUGUGAAUUUAUGGGUAUCGUUGCUCAUGUCAAAGAUAAGUAAAAGUGAAGAAUUAAAUUAGCUUUGAGAAAAAGACUAAGUAAUAGUGCAGGCAGUAAAAAUCUUGAAGGUGCCUGAGAAACACUUAACAUAAUUGUGGAUGCACGUGAUGAAUAUCAUCUAACUUCACUGCUGAUUUAUGACACUUACGACCUGCCAACUGCCGAACAACAUGGCGCUAACAUUCCCAACUGCCCCCAAAUUAAAUGGGAAGUUACCCUUGUUGUCUAACAACUGAAUUGCACUAGAAUUUAAUGAUUUAAGAACUCACUCAUGAAACUUAGCUAAGACUAGAAGUAAAAACACCCAGCCUUUAUCUGACCUACAAAUGCACAAUAGUUGUGAUUAUGUCCUCAGUCACAACUAUGUUAGUGUCACCCCCAAUUAACUUUCCCAGAUAGUUUUCAAUUUAGCACUAACCAUCCCAGCUACUAAAAUACAACAGCACAAGGUGGCGUGGUAAUAGGACUGCUUCCAAGAGUAUUCAUUUGCUCUGACAACUCACAACAACAACAAAAUCCUGGGGCGGGAAUUCCAUUCUAUUUUAUCUUUGCCAUUUGUAAUACGGUCGCUCCUUAGAGGUCUAAUUUAUCUGACAUGCUUGGAGAAGCCAUUUUUAUUAUUCCAUAUCUGAAUUAUAUUCUUUUUUUUUUUCUUCUUGUUUUAGAAUAGUACCAGGUUCCCCUUUGUCAGAAGCAUUUGUCAUUGAGUGGUGAGAUAACAUUGCAAGAAAUGUCAUAAGCAGUGUUUGGUCACCGUCUGCCAUGUUUAAUAAACGUCAAGGUAACCAAGAGUUUAUAAGACAAAUAAGCAGAGUGUUUUGCCCCUUCCUGCUUAAGCUAUGCACUAAUUGGUACAAGUAAAAGCUGGCCCAGAUUUUUAAUUUCAGUACUAGAUAAAAAGGAAAGUUUAAAAUCAAGGAAAACUUCAUAGGAAUUACCAAAACCCAGCUGAAGGUUGUAUUUAAUUUAAACCACAGAUUUUUUUUUUCUUUUUAGAAAAACAGAUGGAGAGAAAAAUUCUAGUAUCAGCCAUAUCAUGACAUUUCCAGAUAAAUCUUUAAAACAAAAUAAACCAUUUCCCUAAGAGGGCCGUCUUUCAUCUAUCCCAGACUACUUCCUGCUCUUCCUUCUCUUUCCUUCAGCUCUGAGAGUCAAGUCUGGGGAACCAUCUGAGCCCCAAGUUCAGGCAUUGAUAAACAUUUAAGAGAGUAUGAUGCAUUGCAAUGGGCAAUUCUCAAAGUCAGAAACUCUACAAUACAAAAAUUAAUAAACUCUAAAUGAAAAUUCAGAGCAGUUGUGGGAGAAGAGAGAACAUAAGAAGACACAAGAUGGGGUUCACAGGCUUCAGAAACAGCUUCCUGGGCCACACAGGCUUCACCUUGAAUAUACGUACCAUAAAUACACAUCUACUAGCAUCCACAUCAUAAUACAUGAUAAAACUAAGCUCUGUGGGGGGGGGGGGAGGUAGGGUGAGGGGCACUAGGUAUGCAGACCCUGGUGAGGUGAAAAGGGCCAGAGCUGAUGGUAAUUACCACUACUAUAUACAGUUUCACCUCCAUUUUACAGGUUAGGAAACUGAGGCACAGGGAGGUUUUAUAAUGUUUAAGUUCACCCAGCUAACUACAAAUCCCAGCUUCUUUCCAUUUUUACCAUCUUAGUUUCCCCAAAGAUCUAUAGGUAGAUCCAAUAAAUGUGGUUUUCAAUGCACCUCUAUCUUCGAGUUCUAUUUCAGGUCUAAAGAUGGCCAGGUUUAGCAUUUAAGCUAAAACCAAAACCAAAACAAACAAGGAAAAGUUAUCACUUUGAAAGUGUAGACCAAAGAGAUUAUGAAGAAUGGUUUAUAAGCUGAUCCAGGUACUAAUUUGAAAAGCUUGUUUUUAUGCAUCAGUAGCAUCAUUAAGCUUGUUUGAACACCAUUCUGUACUUAGUUUGUGAUAUGGAACAAUAUAGAAAAAGAAAUCCAAAAACCCAAUUCCUGCAGUAGAACCCUGAGAACUUAAGCAUCUUUACAUCUUUCCGUGUAGGAGUUAGACACCAAAUGGGUUAACCAUCAAAUCAAAGAAGUGUGGGUAUUAUGUAUUCUAAAUGGACACUCACUCUUCUCAUAAAUACUGACACUAAGGGCUGCUUCUACCAAUUCUCUGUUCCAGUGCUGGAUUCAUGGGAGGUAAUUAAUUCUGUUUAUGGAUUGGCUGACAAGAGAGUUCAGUGAACUAACAUCAAAUACUUUUCUAGUACCCUAAUUUGCAAUUUGGAAAACCAGAAGUAACAAUUGUUCCCUCAGGAAUCAAAGGAGGACGCUGGCCUUCAGAACUCCCUUGGUUCUAGUCUUUAAAGCUAUUUUCUUGAGGGAAUUCUGUAUGACAGGCACUACAACUGCAUAUCUGAUGGGUCACAGCACUUUCUCUUUCUCCUUUAUAACUUUAUUAAGGAAUGAAUACAGCUUACACUUUAGGGGCAUAACUUCAUGGGAGAUAAAGACCCUUCACACUUUAUGGAAAGGUCAAAGCUGUCCUAAAAAUGACCAAUGAACCCAAGAAAUUCUUGACUCAGAGGUCCAAUUUAUCUGUUUUCAUCUCAUUUAAAAAUAAAAUGGCUAAGCCCUAUUUUUCUGGUCUAUUAUUUAUUAGAUUUCAAUAAAGAACCUUGCUUUUCAUUAAAAUUUUGUCACAGACCACCCCAUACGGGGCUUCGCCUUGCAAAAGGCAUUUUCAAUUUCUCCCUCCUUUCUUGAAAAAAGAAGUGAUUUUUGGCUCUUUUCUUUCUUGCUGACAGUCUUUCCUAGUCUUUAAAGAAACCAACCAACAAAACUAUUUCCUUUUUCCUCUUUCUUAAAGAGAUAUUCAAUGAGUAUACUUACUUAUUUUUUUAGCAGAAAUCCACAUUUCCUUGAAAAGGAGGAUUUUAGAUACUGAAUUUCACAAUUCCCUGUUUGUGAAGACUUACAUUUAAAAAAAUCACUUUUAGGUGAACAACUACAGUAUAAAAACUAAUAUAUACAUACAUGAUAUAAAAAAUAUAUUUUCACUGAUGAUACAUGGUACAGAAAGACCUAGCAAAAGUGAUAAAACUCAGCUAACAAAGACUGUACAAGUAUGCAAGAAAACUCUGUAAUCAGUGUUUUGAGUUGCUAAUGAGACAUGUGGGUUGCUUUUGAAGAAAGAUGGUACUGGGAUUAACUACUUAAAUAUUAAUAAGUUGUUUUCUGCAUAUGGUCAAUUUAGGAAGAGAGCAAGUUCAGAAAACAUAACCACAAUCCAAAAUCUCAACUUCGAAUAAACUGGAAAUAUUAUAAUAUUCAAGACCUGUUCCUAAGCAUAGAUCUUAGCACUUCAAAUACGCCAGAGCACAAUUUUAGUAAGAGACACGAAUUGCAUU